UGGGGACUCUGUUGUGCGUCACCUGCAGGCGCUUGAACAAUACGGUGCGCUUCUUUAUCAUGGCCGACCCUAAAUGAGUGGUUGAGCGGCCGAACUGCCACUGCCAUAGCUCUCUGAAGCCAGCCGAAGUUCAGGGGUCGUCAGCCGCGGAGAGCAGAUAAGGCAGAGAUACUGGGACUGGUCAGAUAGUGAAUUUGAAUGGCAGGUGUCAUAGUGCUUUGCACCAUGAAAAUUAAAAAAACACUAAGAAGAUAUUUUCUUUUAAAAUUCUUUGCUGAGUUAUAUUAAGUUUUGAAACACUUCAAUUCCUGCCCAAGGCUGCUCUGGGAGACAUCUGGUGUUCUAGUUGGUCAGUCAUUACCAGCCAGAGAAGAGAAAUGAUGCCGAGUAUUUUUCCAGUCCUUCAGAUGCUGGAAUUCUAAUUCCUACUCCACUGAUCUGCUCUCUCCCAUGUAAUGCCCUUAUGUGGAUGGAUUUAAAGAGGUGAGGAGAGAAGCAAACUUGUAAACACACAUGUGCGUGCGUGCGUGUGUGUGUGUGUGUGUGUGUGUGCGCGCACGUGUGUACUAAUGAUUGUACCCGGAGCGCUCUCUAUCACUGAGUUACAUUCCCCAACCCUUUUUAUUAUUUUAUUUUGAGACAGGGUCUUGCUAAAUUACUGAGGCUGGCCUUGAACUUGAAAUCUUCCUGCCUCGGCCUCCUGAGUUGUUGGGGUUUCAGGUCUGUGCCACUGUACCCAGAUAAAACUGUUAUGUUUUGAGACAUCAGGCACUAUAGUCAGACAUUUUAUAUAAUUAUUUAAUUGCCAUGAAACCCUGAGAGAUUAAUUUUAUCUUUCAUUUUAUACCUCAGCCUGCUUCAGCAAUUAAUAACAGGUAUUAUCAGUCCUCUUUCAGUUAUACCAUCAUCUGACAACACAUAUUAUUUUCAGACAGCUCCCAGACAAUCUCAUCAUAUUAUUUCAUUUUGAAAUACUUUUUUGCUGGGCACAGUGGCACACACCAGUAAUCCCAGCAGCACAGCCUGAGGUAGGAGGGUCACAAGUUUGAAGCCAGCCUCAGUAACUUAGUGAG